UUCACUACACCUCUCCUCCUCCCGCUCCCUCCUCUAGGUUUCCGCCGUGUUCAGCAUCACACCGACUCUCAUCACCACUUAGUAGUUCACUCUAUCUUUUCUCAGCAUUUCAUUUUCUUUUUGUUUUUCUUCCGAGUUCACCAACCCCAAUCAAAGUCCUCUCUUUUUCUUCUUUGCUCAAACUGAAAGAAGAAAAUCUUAGUAUUGAAACCAGUAAAAGAGAGUGAGUGUAGUAGUUACAAGAACGCGAGAACUACACUACAUGGAGUACUCUCCUCCGUGGAUGAUGGAUCCUUCGCCGGCAACAACUACCCCAUCUUUCACGGUACCUCGUGCUGCCUUGUUUCAAAUUCAACAACUGUGAUUUUCUUGAUUAAUGAGGUUGCAAACAUAGAAAAUAAAUGGGUGGGUGAAGAUUGAGUUUUAGUUGAAGAAUUGGAAAUUACCACGAGUCUAACUGACUCAACUAAAACAGUGCUUACAUCAUCUAAUGCAAUGGAUGAGAAUUCCUUCUUGAAGGCAAAUCAGAUACGCCAACAACUAAAUUAUAAUGAUUUGAAUGUACAGGCAAUGUCCGGUUUCAUAGUUUGUAAUUAGGUUGUGUACAUUAAUAAGUUUAUAACUAUCUUUAUUAUGUCCUUGUAUGUACAGGUAAUGCCAAAAGAAAAUCUCUUAGAAAACCCUGGCAAAAUGAUGGAAGUUUAUUAUGUCCUUGUACAAUGUACAGGUAAUGCCAAAAGAAAGUCUCUUAGAAAACCCUGGCAAAAUGAUGGAAGUUCAAGUCGAUGCAUAUUCACUGACAGUGUUAGACAUCAAGUCAUCAUAGUCACAUUUGUGUAUUCCUGUAAUAUUUGAAAAUAUGAAUAAGGAGAGAGUUGUGCAUACUUGUAAUGUUUAAAAACAUGAACGAGGAGAACGUGAACGAGGAGUGAGUAAGUUUGUGUGUACAUACUUGUAAUGUUUGAAAACAUGAACAUGUUGAGAGUUGUGCAUACUUGUAAUAUUUAAAAACAUGAACAAAGAGACUGAGUUUGUGUGUGAUAGUGAGAUUGUUGAUUAGUUAUUCAAGUUUAGUUGAUGAUA